rnacentral:rRNA from 1 species
AGUCUGACCAGCCAAGUAGCGUGCAGGAAGACGGCCCUAUGGGUUGUAAACUGCUUUUAUAAGGGAAUAAAGUGAGUCUCGUGAGACUUUUUGCAUGUACCUUAUGAAUAAGGACCGGCUAAUUCCGUGCCAGCAGCCGCGGUAAUACGGAAGGUCCGGGCGUUAUCCGGAUUUAUUGGGUUUAAAGGGAGCGUAGGCCGGAGAUUAAGCGUGUUGUGAAAUGUAGACGCUCAACGUCUGCACUGCAGCGCGAACUGGUUUCCUUGAGUACGCACAAAGUGGGCGGAAUUCGUGGUGUAGCGGUGAAAUGCUUAGAUAUCACGAAGAACUCCGAUUGCGAAGGCAGCUCACUGGAGCGCAACUGACGCUGAAGCUCGAAAGUGCGGGUAUCGAACAGGAUUAGAUACCCUGGUAGUCCGCACGGUAAACGAUGGAUGCCCGCUGUUGGUCUGAACAGGUCAGCGGCCAAGCGAAAGCAUUAAGCAUCCCACCUGGGGAGUACGCCGGCAACGGUGAAACUCAAAGGAAUUGACGGGGGCCCGCACAAGCGGAGGAACAUGUGGUUUAAUUCGAUGAUACGCGAGGAACCUUACCCGGGCUUGAAUUGCAGAGGAAGGAUUUGGAGACAAUGACGC